rnacentral:tRNA from 1 species
UCCUAGUGGUCUAGUGGUUAGGCCUCAGCACUUUUACCGCUGAAGCCAGGGUUCAAUCCCUGGACUGGGAA